rnacentral:rRNA from 1 species
UAACGUAGCGAAAGUUGCGCUAAUACCGCAUAUUCUGUGAGCAGGAAAGCAGGGGACCGCAAGGCCUUGCGCUCUUUGAGCGGCCGAUAUCAGAUUAGCUAGUUGGUGAGGUAACGGCUUACCAAGGCGACGAUCUGUAGCGGGGUCUGAGAGGAUGAUCCGCCACACUGGAACUGAGACACGGUCCAGACUCCUACGGGAGGCAGCAGUGGGGAAUUUUGGACAAUGGGCGCAAGCCUGAUCCAGCCAUGCCGCGUGAGUGAAGAAGGCCUUUCGGGUUGUAAAAGCUCUUUCGGCCGGGAAGAAAUCGCAUGGGUUAAUACCCUGUGUGGAUGACGGUACCGGAAUAAGAAGCACCGGCUAACUACGUG